UCUAACCUAAGAGUUUGAUCCUGGCUCAGAACGAACGCUGGCGGCAUGCCUAACACAUGCAAGUCGAACGCUAU
rnacentral:rRNA from 1 species